UAAUGAUAAGUUUACAACAGUGUAUUUGAUAUUUAAGAAUGUAUCGUCUAUUUCUAAAGUUUAGUAAAUAUCGGAUGUAAAAUAUGAGUUAAGAUUAUUAGUGCAAUUAAUGAGAGCUCGUCUUAAUAUAGUUGUAAGGAUAUCGAUAUAGGAAAGGUCAAGAAAAAUCCAAGGACAAGAAAGAAUAAAUUCUGUGCAGUUAAAUUAGUGUGCUAGUUAAAUUGUGAGAAGGCAAUCAGUAGAAGAGACAUCACGGGAAUAUGAAGAUCAGGUAUGCUUUGAGCUCUAUAUAUUUAUGUAUUUGAAUUCUAGUUCAUUGAAUUUUGAGGACGAAAUUCUUUUAAGGAGGCAAGAUUGUUACAACUCAUUAUAAUAAGUCAAAACUCAAAAGUUGAAUUGUCAAAGUCAAAGUCAAAGUCAAAAGGGACUAAAAUGAAAUAAUUCAUUUUAAUUGGGACUUAAUUUAUUGUGACGAAUAUUUUGAAGGUUUAAGUUGGACAACAUAAAAAAUUUGGGAUCUAAUUAUAUAUUUUGGAAGUUUAGGAUUUAACUUUAUAUUAUAUUAUAGAAGAGGGACUUCCUUUGCAAUUUAAGUUAGUGUCCCCUUUAUUUUAUUACCAUUAAACCCAUUUUACACUAAAAACACACACAUGCACACAGUAGAAUUCGGGCAGAAGCUGGGAAGGAGGAAAAAUGGGGAAGGAAAGGAAGAAAAAAAGGGAAAAGAAAAAAAAAAGGGGGAAGAUAAGUUAAGUCCUCGAUUUUCUCCUCAAUUUUUCAAGGUAAGCAUAAGUUUUGCUUAUUUAAGAAUGAUAUUAGAUUUUAGGGUUUAUGAAAAUUCCUUAAAUUUAGGAAGAAUUAAAGGUUAUUAGUAAGUAUUUGUGGUCAAAGAAAUAUAUAUUGAAUUAUUAGUGUUGGAAAAAAAGAAAAGAAAAGGGGGGAAACUUUGAAAAUAG
rnacentral:lncRNA from 1 species